AGGGACAGGCACCUGACCCAUAUUUGGACAAUAAUUUUCUCCUUGGGAAUUUUGAAGAGAUAGAGAUGAGAGAAAAAGAGCUGUCUUAACUCCUCUCCAGCUGAUUGGUCCAAUAACAUACAACGCUUGGGUGCUCUUGGCAGCCAUGUUUCCCUCACUGUGCAGAAGCCAAAAGCAGAAGAAGCUGGUCGGAUGAGAGAGAAAGAAAGAUGAGGAGACUCCCGGUGGCAUCUGAAUUUCUGGUUCCACUCCAUUCCUGAGGCCAGGCUAUAAUCUAGUUCCUGGUCUCUGAGACAUGUCCCUGUAGUGUUGUAAUUAAGUUUCCCUUUCUUGCUUAAACUAGUUUAGGUAGAUUUUUUGUUAUUUACAACCCAAAGAGCUAAGGAAUAGUAUGAACUUUCUUACCAGAUGCAUUUGUUCAUUCAAGAAAUAUUUUUGGAGCAACUGCUAUGUUCCAGGUAUGUGCAAGGUGCUGGAAAUUCAAUGAUGAUCAGGAUAGACGUGGUAUCUAUCCUCAGGGACUUUGUACUAGAUGGGUAAAAGGCCAGGGCAGGGCAGACAUGGAACAAAUGUUUGAUAUAUACGAAGAUAGAACAGAUUUAUGAGAACAUAGAACAAGGUUAUGAGAACUGACAAGCUGAAGACUGAAGGACUGGCCAGGAAGUGGUGGAAGGAGGUAGGAAUUAGGCCGUGGAGGAGGGAGAGCAUCCCAGGCAAGAGAAGAGUGUGCGCGAUGAUAACGCCAUCGUGAAGCCAGCAUCCUCUGGAGAGAAAGCAACACUUCAGGUUGUGUGUUCCAGAGCAGCCUGGGCUGCUGGCCUCCUGGGAGGUGGGAGGCGUUCCUGCUCCGGCUCUGACCUGGGACCUGCACCCUCUCCCUGGAUGCCUGAGGCCUUCCAGGGACCCCUAAAACCUGACAGUUUGGGCCAGCAAUUGGCAAACUGGCAAGUGCCGGGUCCCAGUGAGGCCCCUGGUUUCCUCCCCAAAUAGGAAGUAAAUGGGCAUUUUGUGUCCCCACUCAGGCAGAGCCUCUGGAUGGCCUCCCCCCACCGGUGCUUCCCCGACUCCCAGGGCUCUGGCAUAAAUCGGAGCCAUUUCCUUCUCCGGUUUCCCACCUGUGACUAGCCUUUGUCUAAUUUCACCACUGUGGGGACCAGGGGAGGGUUCCUUGGACAAUAAAUCUUUCAUCGGGAAGGUGGUUUUAUCAUUUGAAAGGAUGAUGUUAAAGAAAGAGAGGACAUAAGUGACUAAUGUGCUCAGGGGAUGGUGAAAAGGAAGAGCUCAGGGUGACCAGAAAGGGGUCAGGCUGGUAUGGCAGAGCAGGGCUGAGGAGGAGCGGGUGGAGAGAAUCAGGGAGGCACAUCAGGAAUGCCAGUCCGACACCUGACUGCAGAAAAGGGGCAAAGAGCUUCCUGGUUAGAAGAGAAACCAGGACCCGUGGUGUGGCUCCCUCUCCUCUCCAGAGCACAGGCUGUGGUCUGCUUUGACGUCAGCUCCCGGAUGCACCCAGGUUAUUGGACACGUUGCUUUCAGAUCUGGGCCAGCUGGGGAGGGAAGGGGCAGUGGGGGCAGCCCUCUCACUGAAGGAUGCCCAGAGGUACCUGGUGUGGAACAUCUGCAGGGUGAGCCAAGAUCAUCCUCCAGCCUUCAUCCCUUCAGGGAUGUUUCCCAACCCAGGCUCCCACUCCUGGCUCGUUUCUGAGACGGCAUCGGCAUUCCCAGGGCACUGAUGGCCAAAGCCACCAGGGGGCUGCCACAUGGAAUGGUGUUGGUAUCCCAGGUCACCCUCACUCUGGCUGAUCGGGCCCUAGAAGCAGAGGAAAUCCAAGAAAACCCUCGCUGGAGCCUAUGGACUCUACUGUCUCCCAGCCACCACUAUCUUUGGGACCAUCCUGCUCCAAAUGGUUGACAAUACUUGCUGCCUCCACUUUCUGGAUUCCCAUUCUCCCAGAACUCUACAGUCUAGCUUCUGCCCCACCCCACCCCACUGAAACUGCUCCUACCAAUGGUGUCAACAGCCUGACACCAAAUCCAGGGGUCACUUCCCAGUUUUUACUUUUUCUCUGAGCCAUCUGCCUGCUGAUUAUAAUCCUUUCUUCUCAAAAAUCUCAGUUCUAGGGGUUCUUAACCAGGGAUCCAUGAGUCCCUAGAUAGUCUUCAGGAAGAAACAAAAUGCAGUCCCUGAAACUGUUACACAAAGUGCUAUGCAAAUGUGCAUUUUCCUAGGGAGGCUGGUCCAAGGGCAUUCAUUGGAGUCUCAAAGGGAUCAUUGAUGUGCCCAAAUGCUAAGAACCGGUGCCCUUGAAACCUGUACUGGCCAGGAUUAGGUUCUUCUGGGAGUGGUCCGAGAUAGCAGCGGCUGAUUUGUCUUUCAUGGGUACAGAGGUAAGUCAUCAGAGCAGGAAUGGCGGCUCUGACCUGCGAAGUCCUCAGGAACUCAGGCUCUUUCUGGUUCUGUCUGCCAACCCCAGAGAGUAGCCUUCAACUUCGUGGUCCAAA
rnacentral:lncRNA from 1 species